GCCAGGUGUGGUGGCACGUGCCUGUAGUCUCAGCUACUCGAGAGGCUGAGGCUGGAGGAUCUCUUGAGUACAGGAGUUCUGGGCUGUAGUGCACUAUGCCGAUCGGGUGUCCGCACUAAGUUCGGCAUCAAUAUGGUGACCUCCUGGGAGCAGGGGACCACCAGGUUGCCUAAGGAUGGGUGAACCAGCCCGGGUCAGAAACAGAGCAGGUCAAAACUCCCAUGCUGAUCAGUAGUGGGAUUGAGCCUGUGAAUAACCUGCACUCCAUAGUGUGGGAUCGCGCCUGUACUCCAGCCUGGGUAACAUAACGAGACCCCAUCUCU
rnacentral:SRP_RNA from 1 species